UCAUACUUGUGGGUUAGCUAGAGAAGCUCGGAGGUUGCUACGAGAGCGCAAGGACAUCGUGAUCAGGCACGUGAACAUGCCGGACAUGGACAGCUUCAAGCUCCUUGAGCACGUUGGCCUUGAACUGAACCUCCCUGUCAUAAGUGAGAUCACUUCAUGUGGCUGUCAGUGGGAAGGGAUACCUACAUAUAUCAUUGGUAUAGGCAGAGGAAUAAGUGCUACGGUUGGACUAGCGGCUACGGUCGUAUAUCCUCUAAUGGAAAGCCGUCUCUCAUCGCUGAGAACUGACUUCUCGUCAUUGUGGUCUCAUGUAUAUUAUUAACUUGAAACUUCUAAUCUAUUUGGAAGAGUAAUGUUUAGAUUGUCAAUCACAUGAAAUUGUAACAUAUUUGCAGUAAGGUUUUAGAUUCUUAUGGUUUACUAGAAAAUGUAUGUGUUCUUUUGCAAUCGGCUCUUGGCUUGAUAUAAAAUGUUUAAUUUUUUUUUCAAA